GAUGAACGCUGGCGGCGUGCUUAACACAUGCAAGUCGAACGAAGCACUUUUGUUUCUUCGGAAGAGGAAGUGACUGAGUGGCGGACGGGUGAGUAACGCGUGGGUCACCUGCCUUAUACAGGGGGAUAACAGUUAGAAAUGACUGCUAAUACCGCAUAAGCCGAUAGAAUCGCAUGAUUUAGUCGGAAAAGAUUUAUCGGUAUAAGAUGGACCCGCCUCUGAUUAGCUAGUUGGUUAGGUAAUGGCCCACCAAGGAGACGAUCAGGAGCCGGCUUGGGAGAAGGAACGGGCACAGUGGGACUGAGACACGGCACAAACUCAUACGGGGGGCAGCAGUGGGGAAUAUUGCACAAUGGGGGAAACCCUGAUGCAGCAACGCCGCGUGAAGGAAGAAGUAUUUCGGUAUGUAAACUUCUAUCAGCAGGGAAGAAAAUGACGGUACCUGACUAAGAAGCCCCGGCUAACUACGUGCCAGCAGCCGCCGUAAAAC
rnacentral:rRNA from 1 species